AUUGAACGCUGGCGGCAUGCCUUACACAUGCAAGUCGAACGGCAGCACGGGAGCAAUCCUGGUGGCGAGUGGCGAACGGGUGAGUAAUAUAUCGGAACGUGCCCAGACGUGGGGGAUAACGCAGCGAAAGCUGUGCUAAUACCGCAUACGAUCUACGGAUGAAAGCGGGGGAGCGCAAGACCUCGCACGAUUGGAGCUGCCGAAGUCGGAUUAGCUAGUUGGUGAGGUAAAGGCCUACCAAGGCGACGAUCUGUAGCUGGUCUGAGAGGACGACCGGCCACACUGGAACUGAGACACGGUCCAGACUCCUACGGGAGGCAGCAGUGGGGAAUUUUGGACAAUGGGCGCAAGCCUGAUCCAGCAAUGCCGCGUGCAUGAUGAAGGCCUUCGGGUUGUAAACUGCUUUUGUACGGAACGAAACGGUGAGCUCUAAUACAGUUUGCUAAUGACGGUACCGUAAGAAUAAGCACCGGCUAACUACGUGCCAGCAGCCGCGGUAA
rnacentral:rRNA from 1 species